rnacentral:rRNA from 1 species
UACGAAGGGGGCUAGCGUUGUUCGGAUUUACUGGGCGUAAAGCGCACGUAGGCGGAUCGAUCAGUCAGGGGUGAAAUCCCAGAGCUCAACUCUGGAACUGCCUUUGACACUGGCGAUCUUGAGUCCGGGAGAGGUGAGUGGAACUGCGAGUGUAGAGGUGAAAUUCGUAGAUAUUCGCAAGAACACCAGUGGCGAAGGCGGCUCACUGGCCCGGUACUGACGCUGAGGUGCGAAAGCGUGGGGAGCAAACAGG